rnacentral:misc_RNA from 1 species
UGCAUAUGAGAAUAAGGCGAUGGAGAUGGGACUGAGCUAAAGGGGGGUGACUGUCGAGGAAUGGUGGUAUGCAUGUGGUUUGGGCUAGGUGAUGAUACCGGAUUGAUGUAGUACAGGUUCGAUAAAGGAAACGAUUAUGGUGAGUGGGUCUUAAAUGAAGGGAUUGUGGUGGUUAGGAGUUGCAUCCAGUUGAUUGUUGAGGGAGUGA